CAGAGAGCGAGGACCAGAGAGGAGAGAGGUCAGCUCGAUUCAGAGGACAGAAAGAAGAAAGGAAUAACCCGGAGUGGACGGGGACAGGAUGAGCGAGGACAGCCACUCCCACUACAGGCUGGACCCCAGCGAUCGCCUCAACGGGCUGGGACAGAGGAGGAAGAGACCCAAGAAGGAUAGUGGAGGUUACAUGGGUCAACCUGGCAAACUGUACCAGCACAUGUGAUCACACUGAUAGCAGAACACAGUUUGUCUGCAGUGAACCUUAAAUACUCACUGAACCAGCUGUUUCCUGAUGUGGUGACGUGUGUCGG
ensembl:lncRNA